GAUGAACGCUAGCUACAGGCUUAACACAUGCAAGUCGAGGGGCAGCGGGAUUGAAGCUUGCUUCAAUUGCCGGCGACCGGCGCACGGGUGAGUAACGCGUAUCCAACCUUCCGUACACUCAGGGAUAGCCUUUCGAAAGAAAGAUUAAUACCUGAUGGUAUCUUAAGCACACAUGUAAUUAAGAUUAAAGAUUUAUCGGUGUACGAUGGGGAUGCGUUCCAUUAGGUUGUUGGCGGGGUAACGGCCCACCAAGCCUUCGAUGGAUAGGGGUUCUGAGAGGAAGGUCCCCCACAUUGGAACUGAGACACGGUCCAAACUCCUACGGGAGGCAGCAGUGAGGAAUAUUGGUCAAUGGACGAGAGUCUGAACCAGCCAAGUAGCGUGAAGGAUGACUGCCCUAUGGGUUGUAAACUUCUUUUAUACGGGAAUAAAGUGAGGCACGUGUGCCUUUUUGUAUGUACCGUAUGAAUAAGGAUCGGCUAACUCCGUG
rnacentral:rRNA from 1 species